UACCAGCUCUCCGAGUGGUGUGGAUGUUUAUUGGGCCUAAAGCAUCCGUAGCUGGCCAAGUUAGUCCCCUGUUAAAUCCACCGAAUUAAUCGUUGGAGUGCGGGGGAUACUGUUCGGCUAGGGGACGGGAGAGGCAGACGGUAUUUUCGGGGUAGGGGUGAAAUCCUAUAAUCCCGGGAAGACCACCAGUGGCGAAGGCUGUCUGCUAGAACGCGCCCGACGGUGAGGGAUGAAAGCUGGGGGAGCGAACCGGAUUAGAUACCCGGGUAGUCCCAGCUGUAAACGAUGCAGGCUAGGUGUUUGGGCGGCCACGUGCCGCUCUAGUGCCGCAGGGAAGCCGUUAAGCCUGCCGCCUGGGGAGUACGGCCGCAAGGCUGAAACUUAAAGGAAUUGGCGGGGGAGCACCACAAGGGUGAAGCUUGCGGUUU
rnacentral:rRNA from 1 species